CGCACAAGGGAUAGAGGCGUCCGGGCUCAAAAACGAAUUCCCGAGGGAACAUAAUGGUUCCACCAAGGCGGGGGUUCAAACGAGGAUGCUCAAAAGCAACAUUUCUAGGUUAUAUUGUUUAUGGCUUGGAUAAGUUGACGAGCUCAUCCUGAAGACACCCUAAAUCUCAACAGCUCCUCCGAUCGUGGGUCGACCACACCGUUCCAAAAGAAAGGAUUAGAUUAGAGAGUUCUCAUCUCAAGG
rnacentral:lncRNA from 1 species